GAUGAACGCUGGCGGCGUGCCUAAUACAUGCAAGUCGAGCGAACAGACGAGGAGCUUGCUCCUCUGACGUAAGCGGCGGACGGGUGAGUAACACGUGGAUAACCUACCUAUAAGACUGGGAUAAAUUCGGGAAACCGGAGCUAAUACCGGAUAAUAUAUUGAACCGCAUGGUUCAAUAGUGAAAGACGGUUUUGAUGUCACUUAUAGAUGGAUCCGCGCCGCAUUAGCUAGUUGGUAAGGUAACGGCUUACCAAGGCAACGAUGCGUAGCCGACCUGAGAGGGUGAUCGGCCACACUGGAACUGAGACACGGUCCAGACUCCUACGGGAGGCAGCAGUAGGGAAUCUUCCGCAAUGGGCGAAAGCCUGACGGAGCAACGCCGCGUGAGUGAUGAAGGUCUUCUGAUCGUAAAACUCUGUUAUUAGGGAAGAACAAAUGUGUAAGUAACUAUGCACGUCUUGACGGUACCUAAUCAGAAAGCCACGGCUAACUACGUG
rnacentral:rRNA from 1 species